rnacentral:rRNA from 1 species
UACGUAGGGACCAAGCGUUGUUCGGAUUUACUGGGCGUAAAGGGCGCGUAGGCGGCAAUUCAAGUCAUCUGUGAAAUCUCCGGGCUUAACUCGGAACGGUCAGAUGAUACUGCUUUGCUCGAGUGCGGAAGGGGCAAUCGGAAUUCUUGGUGUAGCGGUGAAAUGCGUAGAUAUCAAGAGGAACACCGGUGGCGAAGGCGGGUCUCUGGGCAGUAACUGACGCUGAGGAGCGAAAGCGUGGGGAGCGAACAGG